UCCCUGGUGGUCUAGUCGCUAGGACUCUGUGCUUCCAAUGCAGGGGGCCCGGGUUCAAUUCCUGGCCGGGGAA
rnacentral:tRNA from 1 species